UACGUAGGGGGCAAGCGUUGUCCGGAAUCAUUGGGCGUAAAGCGCGUGUAGGCGGCCACGUAAGUCCGCUCUGAAAGCCCGGGGCUCAACCCCGGGAGGCGGGUGGAUACUGCGUGGCUCGAGUCCGGAAGAGGCGAGUGGAAUUCCCGGUGUAGCGGUGAAAUGCGCAGAUAUCGGGAGGAACACCAAUGGCGAAGGCAGCCCGCUGGGACGUGACUGACGCUGAGACGCGAAAGCGUGGGGAGCAAACAGG
rnacentral:rRNA from 1 species